rnacentral:lncRNA from 1 species
CUAUCAGUCCCUUUCUCCAGAUGGCACAUCCUCUGGCAGAAGCUCAUGUUCACAGCCUCACUUUUAACCUUCUGGAACCCACCCACCACUGCCAGAGUCACUACUGAAGCCAUGCCAUUCAAUGCCACAGAGGAGGAGGAGGAGGAGUUUUUUCUACUUGCCCACAAUCUGCCCCUGAAAGUGAUGGGCUACAAUUGGCACAAAGGAAGAAGUGUGGAUCUCUACUAUUGAAUUUUAGGAUAUGCAACAGGCAUUCAAAGAUCUAGCUCAGGACCUGCAUACAGUAGUCAGGAGGUAAUAUUUGCCAAUGCAUCCCUGCUGACCCGGAAAGUCACCCAGGAUGACACAGGAUUCUAUACCCUACAAAUCAUAAAGACAGAUUUUACCAUUGAAGAAGCAACUGGAUAUUUCCGUGUACACC